GGGCACUGGGGUUUCAGCAUUGAGCAAGACAGACAGUGAAGCACUCGUCUUUGAACACCCGGGCCUGUUUCAGUGUCUGGCAAUUGGUAGCUGACCAGUGAAUGCUGUAGCACGUGAGUUCAUUGCUAUAGCGCUGUUGCCUUCCCCCAUCCUUGCCAAACAAAUGCUAUUUUUGAAGCAUCUACUCUGUGCGUGGGAAUUAUUGCCCCAGGGCUUUACAGACUGAGCAGGCAGAAUAAUGACCCCUCAAAGAUCUCCACGUCCUUGUCCCUGGAACCUGUGAAUAUGUUUGUUACCUCACGUGGUAAAAGGGACUUUGCAGAUCUGAUCAAGUUAAGGAUCUUGAAAAGGGGAGAUUCUCCUGGAUUAUUCAGAUGGGCCAAAUGUCAUGACAAGGUCCUCCUAAGGGAAGGAGGGAGCAUUAGAGUCAGAGAAGAAGAUGUGAUGAUGGAAGCAGAAGACCAAGUGGUGUGGGGCCACGAGCCAAGGAAUGCAGGCAGCAUCUAGAAGGAGUCAGGUAAGACAUUGACCAGUGCUGUUCAGGAAAAUGGAACCGAUCCUUAUUUUGGAAGCUCUCGGCUGCCCAGCUAUGCUUAGGAAAUGAAUCAGACUCUGUGGGUACCAUGCUCAAGGACAUGCAGUGAAUUAGUGGUGAAGUCAGGACUGGAACUCAGGUCUUCUGACUCCAGACGAGGGCUCUUUUCCAACGGUAUGCUGUCUGCGCUGCCUCCUCAGAUGGUCUCCUGAUGGUGUCCGCCUCUGGGGCUUAUUAUUGGCUGCAUGAUGACCCUGGAGGGAGCACAUCAGUGCAGGCUCAGCAAGGUGGGGAUGAACAAGGGCAGGGUGGGACGCUUGGUGGUCCUGCAGUGGUGAAGUGCAGGCAAACGGCUAUUGAUCUCGUUAGUUCUCUUUCAGAGAGAAGAUCGGAAAAUAGUCUUCAUUUCACUGGUUUGGAACCCAUGCUAAGUCUUGAAAACAAACCCAUCACCCCUGGUUUUUCUCACAGGCAUCUCGGCAUUGGCCAUCUCCAGCAAAUGUGGUCUGGACUCACCUCUCCACUUGGAUCAGCUGCGUUGUGCUGGCUGGGCUGCCGCCUGCAGCCCCUGAGUCAAUGCUCCAUAGCGGACUGGUUGUACUACACUCACUGCAAGGUGGGGUCCAAACUUUUCCCUGCUGCCAUGAGCCCAGGGCUCAGGUGAACCUCAGAUGCUAUGCCCUCUGACCUACCACCUGGCCCUCCUACCUGCCAUGAUGGCCCCAUCGUUCCACUGGUGUUCUGACCCCACGUUCUGUUUGGCACGUCAGGUCUGCUCUGGACCUGACAUCCUGCUGAGCUCUUGGGGCAUUCUCCCUGAACAGGAGCCUCCUGCCCAGCUGAGCAGCUGGGAUUGCAGCUCCACUGUCCACCUGCCCUUCAGCACAUCUGCCGCCUGGAGCCUCCCCUGGCAGGGCCUUCCCCACCUUCGCAAGUAUCGACAUCAUUGGCCACCAGCCUCCAUCAGUUCCUGGUGGCUUACCACAGCCCUUGUCAUGUUCUAGGUUGCCCUGUUUUUCACCCACACCUGAGGCUAGCCCUAUGCUGGCUAUUUCUGUCAGCCCUGGCUGGGUCUAGCCUUCUCAUCCGUUUCGCUAUCAUCCCAUGUUUCUGAGGCCCCAGCUGUCCCUGGGAGCCCUGGCGCCGAGCCUACUUGAGUUAUGUGGACUUCACCUUGUGGCAAGUUUCUUCCUUCCUCCCUCCUUUCUAUAAACCUUUCUUGGGAACCUCAAAGGUGCCAGAUACUAUGAUGCACUGUGAUAGGCAUUAGGGAGAAAAGAAUGAAAGAAGCAUGACUGCUGAUACUCCAAAGAAACUUGGGAUUACGUUAGGAACAGCAUUUAGGUCUGAACAUGUCUGGACUGGACAAGAGCUCUAAACUGAGGUUGAGGGAAGGAUGAUUAACCUGGGAAAACCUCAGAUCCACAGACAACUCAUCGGUGGCUGUUUUAGCUCAGGUGUAAAUAUCUUAGGAGAAUGUAUCGUUAUUUAAUAAUUCAGAUAGUCUAUAUGCCUCUUGCACACGGAAUUAUCUUCUUAAAUUUCUCUUUGAUCACGCUACUUUCUUAGCAUAAAAAUCACCAAUGACUGUUCCUUGCCUACAGGAUGGUUUAAACUUCUUGGCCUGACAUUCAAAGCCCUUCCCAGACAGGUCCACUUAUAUUUCUGGCUGCAUCUCCCAGUAUUGACCUGUUAGAACCUUCUUCUCCAACUAUUCUGGUUGAUUGGCUGACAGUCAGACUGACGUUCCAUUCCCGCCACCCCGCGCAGCUUCCCCCCCUCCUCCAAUACCCCUAUCCCGUGUUGCCCACACUCCCCUCUACCUCAAGGCUUAGCCCUCCAAAAGCCUCCCAGCCUCCACCUCUCCUUCUCUUAUGUCAGUGGUUCUCACCUCUGAUUACAUACUAGAAUCACCUAGGGAGCUUUAAAAAAUGAGAUGGAGUGGGGAAGGGAGCACCAGACCGAUUUUAUCAAACUUUCCAGAGUCUUUAAAAAAAAAAAAUCCUCCCAGGUCAUUGUAACAUGUAGCCGGGGUUGAGAGCAACUGUUGUGAACAAAUAUGUAUUGCUUCCACCCCUUUGGCUGUAUUGUUAUUUAAGACUCACGCAAGGGAAACAUUAACUUCCGUAUUAAAGUAUUCCCUUAAAGCACAAGAUAUGCCCUUCCUUUCUUUUUGUUCUGUGUAGAGUGUACCACAGCAUCUUUUACGUGAAAGCACAGCAAGCAUCUGCUGGAGGAAUUGAAAUGACCCAGUGAGGUGGGUCAGUCAUUGUCUUGUCGAUCUCAAAGGGUGAGAAACCCAGCCAGCGGUUAUAAUAUAGUGAUGUGCUCCUGUGAAUGGAAUUCUUCUCUUGCAACGCAUUUUCGGAGCCCCUACUCUGUGUAGGCCACUCUGCUCAGGCCCAGCAUGCCUUGGGCAGAUAUGUGCAAGACUAAGGUCAGAGUGAGUAGCCCGCUGUAGGAAGUAAGCAACUAAUCAUAACAUGAUGUGUACUGCAUCCAAGCUAAGGGUCCAGUGUCACUGAUGCUUAGAGGAGGAAGCCACAGUCUAACCAGGAAGUUUGGGACUACUUCUCACAGGAAGUAGCAAUCUACCCAGAAAGAUAUAGAAAGUUGAACAGCUUACCAAUGUUUUGGUUAGAAAUGUGUUCAGCUGCAACUAACAGAAUGCUUUGCUAACAGUGAUUUAAAAAAUAAUAGUAAAUAAAUAUUAUAGAUACACAUAAUAUAUGUAUUAUAUAUUUAUUAUAAUAAGUCCAGGGUUAGGCACUCAAAAUGACACAUUAGCUCAACAAUGUGGCUGAAGUUUCUGGAAUUCUCUUGUCCUUUGAGUUAUGGUCAUAGGUUGGCUGCAGCAGCUUCAGUCAUUGUGUCCACAUUCAAAGGAGAACGAUGAGGAGGAGGACAGUGCCAGCCAUGUUUUCCCCUUUUAUCAGGAAAGCAAAAACUUUCCCAGAAACCUUCCUGUGGAUUUCUCCUCACAUCUCAUUGGCCAGAACUGUGUCACGUGGUUACCCUUAGCAGCAAUGGAGGCUGGGAGAGAGAGGAUUUGACUUUUCCAGUCUCUAUAUAGGAAGGUAGGGAGGAGAAGAGGGUUGAGAGUGGCUCCUAAGUGAGCCAACUAACAGACGAAACAUUUACCAGAAAAUUCUCCCUUCAUUUGCAAAAAACAGGGAGCUGUGAAAGUGUAUGGAAUAUUUAGGAUCAAAUAAUUUAGUAUCACCAAAGUAGAGGACGUGUGGCAAGUGAGUGAGGGCAGACAAGAUGGAGAGAAGUUGAGAUGAGAUUCUUUAGGUUCUUGAAUGACGUGUUAAAGAGCUUGGGAUUUUUCUAUAGGGCCUGGGUAACUAAUGGAGAUUUUUAAUAAGAGGAAUGAUGAAAUCAGUUUAUUGGGGGAAAAGUGGCAGUAUGGAGGAUGGACCAAGAAAGAAAAAGAUGGCAGACUAUUUAUAGCAAUCCAGGCAAGAUUUGAUGAGGGCCUGCACUCAGAUUUCCUUCAGCAUAUUGCUGGGGGAAGAGUUGGGCAGGAUGGCCAAGAGGCCAGGAUCUGAUGAAAGCAGCUACCCAAAUUUCAUCUUUGGGUAAAAUAUGGCUUACCACCAAUAACGCUUUGUAAAAGUCUCUUGCGUGUGUUUCUUGGGAGGAAGAGAUAGGAGGUCAUGACAUGCUCAACACCAUCUGCUAGAGGCUGUAUUAGGUUCCUAGGGCUGCUGUCACAAAGUGCCACAAGCCAGAUGGCUUAAAACAACAGAAAUUUAUUCUCUCAUGGUUCUGGAAGGUAGAAGUCCAAAAUCCAGGUGUCAGCAGUAUUGGUUCCUUCUGGAGGUUAUGAGAGAGAAUCUCAGGGAGAAUUUCCAUGCCUCUCUCCUAGCCUCUGGUGGCUCCUGACACUCCUUGGUGUCCCUUGACUUGUAGGUACGUCACUCCAAUCUCUGCCUCCAUUUUCACAUGGCUUCUCCCCGGGUGCGUCUGUGUGCUCAAGUUUCCUUUGUCUUAUAGGGCCCACCCUAAUACAACUGACCUCAUCUUAGCUUGAUCACAUCUGCAAAGACCCUAAUUCCAAACAAGGUCACACUGACAGGUACCAGAGGUUAGGACUUGAACUUAUCUUUUUAGGGAACACAAUUCAACCCACCACAGGUAUAUUAGGCCUGCUCUAGUUGAAACUGUCAGACAACCUUUGACUUAAGGGGAAAAAAAAGGAGUUUAUCUACUUGCAUAAUUUGAAGCACAAGGGAGUGGCUCUCCUGUCCUCAGCGUUGCUUCAUGCUCAGGAAGGAACUCUCCAUGGCAUGGCUAAGUUACCCUCCGCCUGCCCUGAUUACAUCCAGGUUUACGAGGGUAACCUCAGAAAAAGCUCUACCCCCAGGUCCAUGGCGACCCCUCCACAGGAGUCGUGGGUCACAGGCCCAUCCUUUGAGGCCUAGAGGCAACUCGCCCAAAUCAUAACUGAAGAGGAUUAUUAUGGAAUGUGGGGGAUGAUUCCCCAAGUGCUGCCAGGCAAUGUUCUUUCUCUGCCUUUACCCAAAUGAGGGCAAGGAGAGAAGGCCCCAGCUGGAAAUACCAGCUUCUUCCUGGCAAUCUUGAUGUUGUGGGCAACUUCCACAAUGGACAGGCAUUGCAGCUGUUGACUUACUGUUCAUGUGGUUUUGAUGGACGUAUAUCUGUUAACCCCUACUUUAUUCUGUUCAGAAAUCUGGCAUUUGCCCCUCUGUCCUCACCGGUCCACAGGAGAUAAGAGUCAGUGAGCAAGGUUGCCCAAGUGAAUAAGCUGGGCUCAGCACCUAGAAUUUCUCUACUGUUCUGAGCCUCUGGGACCAUAAGGCUGAGGAUGGCUGGCCAUUGGGCGUUGCUCCUUUGGGACUCUGUCACACAUCAGCUUCUCCCUUUACAAGCCUUAGGAUGCAAGGAGUCUCCUGUUUGCCUAGUGCUCCAAAAUGGCCUGCUCCUCCCUCUCCCAGCACAGGCAAGCAAGAAGCUAAAACCAUUUUGAGGUCCAUACCAGGGUUGUGACUCCAUAAAUAUCCACUGCUGUCACUCUUAGCAUCUGAGCUGGAAAACUGCCCCACUUCCCUCCAGCCAGCUUCCCUUUUAUGUUGCUCAUCCUCAGAGAUCGCUGACGUAGGCCAGGGGAAAAACCUCAGGGACAGCUAAUCCAGGCCCCUCCCUGUACGGAUGGUGAGACCUUCAUUUUUGCCCUCAUUCCUCCAUGGGGUGAGGUUGGAGGAGGAGGGAACACAAUGCUGUGUCUUGGCCAGCAGGGGCCUCCUGGCCUGGGCUGGCUUGCGGCUCUGCUAGACGUCUUUCUUCCCUUUGUCACAGGUGACCAGGGCCCCUGGCUUGGCACUGGGAUUUCCACUCAUGUUGUCCUCUUUAGGAACUCCUACAGGGUGAAACAAAAUAUUACUAUUCUCACAACAACAACAUAAUAACAACCAUCCCCAUGUGCCAGGCCCUGUAUCAGGAGUCCUUUCCAAUGAGCAUCUCAUUUCUUCCUCCCUCCUAAAAAGUAGGCAUCUUCCCCACUAGUCGGAUGACCACACUGAAGUUCAGAGAGGUUGAGUCAUUUGUCCACGUUCACAAACCUCGUAUGUGAUUGGACUGUCAGACUUGAACUCCGAGUGGGGCAGCCUCAGGCUGUGGGAGGCAGCGGGCGAGAAGACAGUAUUGCUUUCGUUCCUUUUCCUCUUCUCCUUGGCACCACCUGCUCUUCUCCUCCAGUUCCGGGCCGUCCCUUAUAUCCAUUUUUAUAAGUCAGAAAAAAAAACCCCUUUAUUUUUGUAUAUGUUCACUCUUAUUUUUUUAUUUUCUAAAUAAUUAAUUUUUAUCUUAGCCUCACUAAUUUCUUCCUUUUGAUUUCCUUAAGUUUAUUUUUCAUAUGUAAAUGUUCGCAGUAUUAUUUUCCAGACAAUCUAUCAUUUCAGUCUUGAGUUUCUCUUUGACCCAAGAGUUAGAGAGAGGGUUCUAACAUUUCCAAGUGGU
ensembl:lncRNA